AAAUAUUUAUAAAUAUAUUUAAAAUUAUUUAAUUUAAACAGAUUUUAAUCAGGUUCGGAUAAUAUGUCGGUAUUUCUAUUUGAGUUUAAAACGGGUUCGAUAAAAAAAGGUAAUUUCUUAAACGAAUUUGGAAUGAGUCCAAAUACUUAUAUUUCAAUCAAUUUUAGAUUCAAAUAUCUUUAAAUGAGUAAAUAUACUCCCAAUAUUCAUUCCUAGAAAUUCUCAACUUACUUAUUGAAAUAGUUAAGAUUGGACUUAUUUGGCCUGGAGCUUCAAGAUGAUAUUUGACCUUUUAUCCAUUAGAAAUUUUAAGAAUUUAUAAAAUCCAUGGUUAAAAGAUUAAAAAAUAAAAAAUAAAAAAGGGCUCAAAAAGACUUUAAAACCCUCUAACCAAACAGAUGGUAAGAAAGUAAGACUUGCAUUUGGUGGUGCGUUAGCCUUUUAGUUGGCGAUUUUAAGAUUACGCUCGACGACCAUUGGCACUUGAAGAAAAGAAUAUUUAUUUACACCUAUCAAAUAUAGAAAAUACAAACCAAUUCAGUUUUCCACAAGGACAAAAAUACAUGUAAAUGAACACAUUCGGUAACUUGCAAUCAAAGUAAUUAGGUUCCAUUUGGCUGGCAAAAGCAAGAUAGACAUAGUCACGUUGGUAACACAGUAGAACAUAUAGAAUAAAAAUUGCUUUCUUUCUGGGACCUAUUAAACAACCUCUCUUUCUCUCUAUCUACCUAUCAUGUACCCAAUUUAAGGUUUCAUUUUAGGCGGCUAUUGAUGACAUAUUCCACUAGCAGCCACCCCGUGUUUUGUUGUAGGGCUUUUUGUGUCUAGCUUAUAUCAAAUCUAAAAGUGCACAGACAAGUCUGUUGAUGUCUUUUUGGAGUUCAUCGGUUGACGGAUAUGGAUAGGAGAGAGGAAGAGCUGUUAGGUUCCUGUGCAGCAUGGGUAGCAACUGCUCCACUCCAUCAUCGUAGGAGAUAUGAGGUGGUUAGGUUUUUGAUGUUACAUCGGAUUAUUUUCAUUUUUGUUUACUUUUGGUAAUUGUGCUUCAUCGAUCUCAACCCUGUGCUUCUGGUGGUGAGGGUUGAGGACUCCAGGUGCUUUAGAAGGAUAGGGAUGGUGGCUUGUAGCUUUUGAUGUCGAUGGAACUCAUGGUAAAGGAGAAAAAUGCUUUUAGAGAUAAGAUUUUUAAUCAUAUACAUGGGCGUUUUUUCAUUUUUUUUAGACCAUGGAAUCGUUUGUAAUCGACUACUUUUUAGAAAUAUAAGAAAAUCAUUAAAAAAAAAAUAUCAUUUUCUUCUUAAAAAAUAAUUUUUUU